rnacentral:lncRNA from 13 species
GUGACGCGUGGGUCUUGAUGGCUGCACCCUCGGUUUUGUUUAUCCUUGGGGUGGGUCAAAUUUACGGGAUUUCCUGACUGCCGUGUGCAGUUCGGGGCUGGGCUCAAUGUGGGCGGGGUCAAACGUCGGGGCUGGGCUCAAUGUGGGUGGAGUCAAACACGUUAAACGCGAACCCUUCCCGUCCCCUUCAAGAUCACCCAAGUUGAGGUAAACGUCGAAGUUGUCAACGUCAACGAAAGCGAAUCUUAAUCGAACCUAACCUAAUGGAUAAAAAUACCGACCAUGGAAGUGUUCACAGAAACAUUACUCUGAUAUUGUCCCCUGGACCUUGGAGGACUUUUAUGUGGAUGAUGUUCAGAGGAAGCAGAUCUUCUAAGGGACACCCUAGAGGCACGCCAAAACAUUUAAAGGAACCGUUCCCCUCCCUACUGUAAUUGGGAUAGGCGGGGAAGACCGCAUCACAACCCCUAAAGAACUACAGUCACCUGAGUCGCUGAUCUCUUUACUGGAGCUGGUAUAACUUAAUGUACAAAGCCCAUUCAGCUUGUCAGUAUGUUUAUAUGAUAUAGUCUGUCUCCAUUCUCACGAGGAAAAUAAAUGGCAUAACUCAGGAUAGGUAGUAACUGUAUAUUUAUGUUCAAUUAAAUAAUAUAAUUACAAAGUUAUAAAAUUCAUCAACACAAUUUUAACAGUACAUGACACGGAUAACAAGUAUAUUGUUCACUGCAUCAUCAGUAGCUUGCUCAAACUGAGCCCGGCCCAAAUUGCACACUGCAGUCAGGGGUACUUGGAUUUCGGCGUGUUAUCCAGUAAAAAAUAUAUAUACAAAAGUCAGUUGCUAAUAAGGAGCUGGUUUCGGCGGGGUUUAUUGCUGAUAGCUGGCACUGGGACAAGCGGUAACAUAUUGCAGUAGUCAGACACGACAUGAAGCAUCAAUAUCGUUGGAUCCUUCAUUUGUUUUUGCACUGAUGUUACACAAAUGUUUCAGAACAGUCGGCCCUUUAAAUGCUACUGUUAUAUCUAACUAGCUAACGCUACAUCCUAUCAAACCUGUAGUCUGAUGUGUAUGGUUAGCCCGCUAGCUAAUAUAGCCAAUGUUAGGGCAAGCAAGGUUAGGACUCUAGCUAGACUGUUGUGCUAGCGACGAUGCUAACCGUUUAGCUAGCAAGCUAAACAUUUGGCUAGCUGGCAUCAAACAUCACGUUAGUUAGGUGAGGGUGAAUUACAUUAUUCAACAUAUUGCUAGAUUUUUAUUUAACUAGGCAAGUCAGUUAAAACAAAUUCUUAUUUACAAUGACGGCCUAGGAACAGUGGGUUUACUGGCUUGUUCUGGGGCAGAACGACACAUUUUUACCUUGUCAACUCGGGGAUUCGAUCUAGCAGCCUUUCAGUUAUUGGGCCAAUGCUCUAACCACUAGGCUACCUGGAUAGCCAAAUUACUUUAUAUUUCUAGUUAACUAACAACAUCAGCGUAGCUAGUCACAUUGGCUAGCAGCAAUAUUCUGGAGGAAGUGGAAAUGCUGAUUUGAAAGUGCGAGGUUUCAGAUACAAUUGAUAAAAAGUUGUCACGACGUGGGGCGCUGCUGCUCUGUCUCCUCUCAUUUACGUGACUC